GGCAGUGCACGAGUCCUUAACUGACGCUAAAGCUCGAAAGUGCGGGUAUCGAACAGGAUUAGAUACCCUGGUAGUCCGCACGGUAAACGAUGGAUGCCCGCUGUUGGCGAUAUAAUGUCAGCGGCCAAGUGAAAACGUUAAGCAUCCCACCUGGGGAGUACGCCGGCAACGGUGAAACUCAAAGGAAUUGACGGGGGCCCGCACAAGCGGAGGAACAUGUGGUUUAAUUCGAUGAUACGCGAGGAACCUUACCCGGGCUUGAACUGCAGGGGAACGAUCCAGAGAUGGUGAGGUCAGCAAUGACUCCUGUGGAGGUGCUGCAUGGUUGUCGUCAGCUCGUGCCGUGAGGUGUCGGCUUAAGUGCCAUAACGAGCGCAACCCUUUUCUCUAGUUGCCAUCAGGUUAGGCUGGGCGCUCUGGAGACACUGCCACCGUAAGGUGUGAGGAAGGUGGGGAUGACGUCAAAUCAGCACGGCCCUUACGUCCGGUGCUACACACGUGGACGGGCGGUGUGUACAGAGACUUAGUCGUUCGCAAGAACGGUUUAAUCAAGAAAGUCAUCCUCAGUUCGGAUUGGGGUAUGCAACCCGACCCCAAGAAG
rnacentral:rRNA from 1 species